CCCUUGUACACACCGCCCGUCACACCAUGGGAGUGGGCUGUACCAGAAGUGGGUAGACUAACCUUUUAGGGGGUCGCUGACCACGGUAUGGUUCAUGACUGGGGUG
rnacentral:rRNA from 1 species